UCUACGGGUGGCAGCAGUCGAGAAUCUUUCACAAUGGGCGAAACCCUGAUGGUGCGACGCCGCGUGGGGGAUUGAAGGUCUUCGGAUUGUAAACCCCUGUCAUGUGGGAGCAAAUUAUAAAAAUAGUACCAUAAGAGGAAGCGACGGCUAACUCUGUGCCAGCAGCCGCGGUAAUACAGCGGUCGAAAGCGUUGUUCGGAAACAUGGGGCAUAAAGCGUGCGAUGGCUGUUACUUAAGUCGUGUGUGAAAGGGGGGGGAUAAACCUGCGGAUUGCAAAUGAGACUGGGAGACUAGAGUAAUGGAGGGGUAACUGGAAUUCUCGGUGUAGGAGUGAAAUGCGUAGAUAUCGAGAGGAACACUCGUGGCGAAGGCAGGUUCCUGGACAUUAACUGACGCUGAGGCACGAAGGCGAGGGGAGCGAACGGGAUUAGAUACCCUAGUAGUC
rnacentral:rRNA from 1 species